rnacentral:rRNA from 1 species
UACAGAGGGAACUAGCGUUGUUCGGAAUGACUGGGCGUAAAGGGUGCGUAGGUGGUUGCUUAAGUGAGAUGUUAAAUGCCCAGGCUUAACCUGGGACUCGCGUUUCAAACUGGGUGACUAGAGUACGGUAGAGGAAAAUGGAAUUCCUAGUGUAGAGGUGAAAUUCGUAGAUAUUAGGAGGAACACCAGAGGCGAAGGCGAUUUUCUGGGCCGGUUACUGACACUGAGGCACGAAAGCGUGGGGAGCAAACAGG